rnacentral:rRNA from 1 species
AUUGAACGCUGGCGGCAUGCCUUACACAUGCAAGUCGAACGGUAACGGGCCUUCGGGUGCCGACGAGUGGCGAACGGGCGAGUAAUACAUCGGAACGUGCCCGACCGUGGGGGAUAACGAGGCGAAAGCUUUGCUAAUACCGCAUACGAUCUACGGAUGAACGCCGGGGACCGCAAGGCCUUGCGCGGACGGAGCGGCCGAUGGCAGAUUAGGUAGUUGGUGGGAUAAAAGCUUACCAAGCCGACGAUCUGUAGCUGGUCUGAGAGGAUGAUCAGCCACACUGGGACUGAGACACGGCCCAGACUCCUACGGUAGGCAGCAGUGGGGAAUUUUGGACAAUGGGCGCAAGCCUGAUCCAGCCAUGCCGCGUGCAGGAUGAAGGCCUUCGGGUUGUAAACUGCUUUUGUACGGAACGAAAAGCCUUCUUUUAAUACAGGAGGGUCAUGACGGUACCGUAAGAAUAAGCACCGGCUAACUACGUG